UACGUAGGGAGCAAGCGUUGUCCGGAAUCAUUGGGCGUAAAGCGCGUGUAGGCGGCCCGGUAAGUCCGCUGUGAAAGUCGGGGGCUCAACCCUCGGAUGCCGGUGGAUACUGUCGGGCUCGAGUACGGAAGAGGCGAGUGGAAUUCCUGGUGUAGCGGUGAAAUGCGCAGAUAUCAGGAGGAACACCGAUUGCGAAGGCAGCUCGCUGGGACGUGACUGACGCUGAGACGCGAAAGCGUGGGGAGCAAACAGG
rnacentral:rRNA from 1 species